AUCAUCUGGGAAGCAAAAAGGAGAAACAGCUCAGACCAACUGCAGUCAAGGCCAUGCAUUUACUGUCUGUGAUUAACAGAUCAGAGUAAGUGCAAAGUUGUAUGAAACAUGUUUUAUGUUUUGACCCAAGUCACAUCUGACGGGUAUGGCUAUAGAAUAUGAAAUAGUCUAAGCUGAAGUGGUGAAUCCAGCUAACUGUUAUUUGCAGGUCAUAUCACCCAUGUGUUUUGAGUGCAUAAAAAUCUCUAACUCUCCAAACUAAAACAUUUCACUAUAAUUGAUUAAUCUUUUGGCACAGACCUUCUUAAGUGUUUUAUUCUCUGGGUGCUAUUUUUCACAUUUUGUCUCUUUAUUAAAAACUGUAGUCAUCCAAUCAGCUCUCAGAAACAAUGACCUAUGACUCAUGUAACCAUUGACAGACUGUUUUGGAACAACUCACAAAAAGCUGAAAUACAUUAAACUAUUCAGCUAAUACAUAAAUAGAAUACAGGGUCAGUUUGCAAGCCAUUUGUUAAUAGACUAAAGGGCUCCCUUCCCACAAAAAUAAUUUAAAACAUAAUUUAUCCAGCUUCUUCCAGAACAAUUCAUUCUUUCCAGAGUCUCCUCAAUGUGAGUUACAGAUGUAAAGGUUCGCCUGGGUAUGACUGUCAAGGACAGCAUUUUUGUAGGUUUUGGGUCAUUUUGUGUUCUUUAUACGUUGGCAAAAGACUAGCUAGCUACAGUAACCUGGCUUGCAUGAUAGAUUUCAAGAGCCUUCUUUAUUUUUUUUUCUAUCAGUUCAACAGUGAUGUCCCCUGAAUGUUGAAACAUUAUGCAUUUUCUGUCUAUACAGGAGUUUCUGAAGAGUUGUAAUUAUCCUGGUUGAGAGAGCUGAGAAAGCAGAAAGAAAGAUCUUACCCUGAAAAACAAAGGACCAAAAUCUGAGGCAGUGAACAAGAAGUUGGCUGGAGGAUUGGAUCUGACUGGAACAGGAAAUCACCAAGAAUUAGGAAGAGGGACCUUAAGGAACCAAAAAUACCCUGGUGUUUUAAGUUGCUCUGGAUUGGAAAGGCAAAAGACUCCACAUGCCAUCUUGAGAAAUCAGCUACUGUGUCUGAGUGAGACAGAGGUAUUUUACAAGAUUCUUGGGCAUGCAUAAAAAGCGUGAAGCAGAUCAACUUAGCUCUUUUAUUUUCCCUUUAAGGCAAGUCAUUUGGAUAUUUUUUAAAUAAUAAUAACAAGCAUUAAAUAUUCAGCAUUUCCCACAGUUUUGUUAUUGUUCUUAUUUUUAUUUAAUGUAGAGGACGCUGGCCAGAGCCAAGCUUGUCUGAAAGACAGGCAACAGCUGGACUGAAACAGAUUGCCAAGAAAGCCAACCAUGUGUUCAGCAUUUUGGGUUGUUUGUUCCAGGCUCACAUGCAUUAGAGAAACCAUGGAUGCCACAUUGAAAACUGAAAAAAUACUCCCCUUGGUAAAAACAUCAGAAUUACAGCAUGUAGAAAGA
rnacentral:lncRNA from 1 species